CAGGAGCUCCGAUUGGCCAAGUGUCAACUCAUGUGGGAGGUAAUUGUGUAACAGCUGGCCAAUCCUAGCCCCUGCU
ensembl:miRNA